CGCUGGCGGCGUGCUUAACACAUGCAAGUCGAACGGUGAACCAGGGCUUGCCCUGGGGAUCAGUGGCGAACGGGUGAGUACACGUGGGCAACCUGCCCCUGACUCUGGGAUAACUCCUCGAAAGAGGUGCUAAUACCGGAUACGACCACUUCGGGCAUCCGAUGGUGGUGGAAAGAAUUUUGGUCAGGGAUGGGCCCGCGGCCUAUCAGCUUGUUGGUGGGGUAACGGCCCACCAAGGCGACGACGGGUAGCCGGCCUGAGAGGGCGACCGGCCACACUGGGACUGAGACACGGCCCAGACUCCUACGGGAGGCAGCAGUGGGGAAUAUUGCGCAAUGGGCGAAAGCCUGACGCAGCGACGCCGCGUGAGGGACGACGGCCUUCGGGUUGUAAACCUCUUUCAGCAGGGACGAAGCGAAAGUGACGGUACCUGCAGAAGAAGCACCGGCUAACUACGUG
rnacentral:rRNA from 1 species